CGGGCGAAUGCCUGUGGAACUACAUCAUUGGUAAUGAGGAGGUUGCGGGUGCGAGUCCCGCCGCUGAACCGGAUUGGCCGGGGCAGCGUAGCUCAACGACAGAGCGCCGGUUCCACAACCACUAGUCGCCCACUU
rnacentral:Y_RNA from 1 species